GCGUCCCUAAUACAUGCAAGUCGAGCGGUCCCUUCGGGGAUAGCGGCGGACGGGUGAGUAACACGUAGGCAACCUGCCUGUAAGAUCGGGAUAACUAUCGGAAACGAUAGCUAAGACCGGAUAGCUGAUUCUCUCGCAUGAGAGGAUCAUGAAACACGGAGCAAUCUGUGGCUUACAGAUGGGCCUGCGGCGCAUUAGCUAGUUGGUAGGGUAACGGCCUACCAAGGCGACGAUGCGUAGCCGACCUGAGAGGGUGAUCGGCCACACUGGGACUGAGACACGGCCCAGACUCCUACGGGAGGCAGCAGUAGGGAAUCUUCCGCAAUGGACGCAAGUCUGACGGAGCAACGCCGCGUGAGUGAUGAAGGUUUUCGGAUCGUAAAGCUCUGUUGCCAGGGAAGAACGCCUUAGAGAGUAACUGCUCUAAGGGUGACGGUACCUGAGAAGAAAGCCCCGGCUAACUACGUGCCAGCAGCCGCGGUAAUACGUAGGGGGCAAGCGUUGUCCGGAAUUAUUGGGCGUAAAGCGCGCGCAGGCGGUCAUUUAAGUUUGGUGUUUAAGCCCGGGCUCAACCCCGGAUCGCACUGAAAACUGGGUGACUUGAGUGCGGGAGAGAAAGUGGAAUUCACGUGUAGCGGUGAAAUGCGUAGAGAUGUGGAGGAACCACCCAUGGCGAAGGCGACUUU
rnacentral:rRNA from 1 species